rnacentral:pre_miRNA from 1 species
UGUCGCGGCCGGCGAGCAUGAAGCUGACGACGAUGUCGCGGAGGUACUUGUCGUCGUCGAUGGAGCCCAUGAAGCGUGAAAGGAGGUCGCUGCCGGUGGCAGCGCCGCCAAGCUUCCGCCGUUGUCGGAUGACCUCCGCCGCGAGCGCGU